CAAAAAAAUCAGAAUGAGAAUCUAUAUCAACAACCCUGCCAGAGAUAGCCAGCUGUUUAUCAAUGGGUUUGAACACACAGAACUAAGACUCCCUUUUCUCAGGUUUAUCAAAUAAUCAACCACAUUCACAGACAGUGUUCUGUACAGUGUGGAUGCUAUGUUGACAGGAAACACUUUCAACUGGAGAUGGAUGAAGGUAUUUCUACACAGACCAAACAAUUCUUCAGUGGACACCAGCUGGAUCCACUAAUUCAACUCAAUUCUGAAACUAUGUACCUGGAGAUAGUGCUGGAUCCUAUAGGUUGAGGGAUCAGAAAUGAAUUGCAAGCCACAGUUGUAACCUGAGCUUCUUCUGACUGAUGAGUUAUAAAUUGGGUUCGGAGAUUCCCUCCUCAGGUUAGAUUAAUUUUCAAGAGCAGGUCACAGAACUGAGGGAAGCACUUCAGUUAAAUUUAUCAGUUUAUUAAAAAGUGAUAAAGUAACGCUAAUGGGAUACAUAGGAUGAGAUCUGAAAGUGUCCCCCAGGGAAUUGGGGUGUGGCACCCUGGUACGUGGAUUUAUUUCAUAUCUCAGAAAUUCUCUAAGAUGCAUCAUUCAGGGAUUUGUAUGAGGCCUUCAUAACAUGGGCAUGAUUCAUUAGUGACUCCACAGCUGGCCCCCUCCUCUCUCUGGAGAUUGGGGGUAGAGCUGGAAGAACCACAUUUAUAAUCUUGACUUGGUCUUUUUGGUGACCAGACCCAACCCAGAGGCCCAACAAGUAUCACCUCAUUGGAACAAAAAACACCCCUAUGCCCACAAAAUUCAGAAAAUUUAGAAAAUCUAUAUAAGAAACCACGGUCAAAGACCAAACAAAGACUAAGAUUCUCCUAACAUCCCUAUCUAAAAGAGCAUUAGGAGCUCUGUCACAAAGAUUAUGGCAGAGACCAAACUUUUUCUCUUCUUGCUCUAAUCACUUAGGAAAUUAUAAUCUUUCUAGGAGCUGAGAGAGAGCAACUGGACAAAAAACAAAUAUGUAUUUGAUACUGUCACAUUUUCUUUCUCUUUUUUGGCAGGGACUGAAAAUUCCCUGCCAAUAUCCAUUCUCCUUUUCUUCCUUCUAUUAAUAGAAAGUCUUCCCUCCCUUACCAAGUUUUGGCAGGGAACAAGUUUGGGACUUACUUUCUCUAAAAGCUGGCCACCUCCUUGUUACUUUCAAUUUCCUUUGGCUGGAAUACAGAUAGGGCAUUGAAGAGCUAGCUUUAACACAAGUGAGAACAACAAUAGGAGAUUUGAGAUGCAUCGUUCAGAAAUUAUAUUGAAGGAAAUGAAUUCCCUAGAAGAUUUUAUGAAUCUGAGCUAUCUACUGACCUUUGAACAUCCACCCACAUUUUCCUAUGAAGUGAACAAAAAAAGAGACUUCCAUCUGGUUUGAGCAUUCUCAGUAACUGUGGAUACCCUAACACAGAAAAUUAUCUGUCUCCAUUUGUUCACUGAGGGUUAAAGACAAGUAGUUUACUUGUAGGGUUGUUAUACAUAUCCAAAGAGAAUAUGUAAGAAAAAUGCUCAACAUAGAACAUGCUAUGUGACUUUUCUGAAUGUAAGAAACAUAUUAUCAUUAGAUUAUUUGAUUAUUUCUGCAUAUUAAAUAUUUUUCAUAAGAACUUUCUUUUCUGUUGGCUUUUAAGUCUUUUAGAAAAGAAUCUCCCAUAACAGAAUAAACAAAAAUUUUGACUAUAUGAUCAAUAAAACAAUGUUGUGUGAA